rnacentral:rRNA from 1 species
UAGUCUGGUGCCAGCAGCCGCGGUAAUACGGGGGAUGCAAGCGUUAUCCGGAAUCAUUGGGCGUAAAGCGCCUGUAGGUUGUUUAAUAAGUCCGUUGUUAAAGACUAGGGCUUAACCCUAGGAAAGCGAUGGAAACUGAUAGACUUGAGUAUGGCAGGGGUAGAGGGAAUUUCUAGUGUAGCGGUGAAAUGCGUAGAUAUUAGAAAGAACACCGGUGGCGAAAGCGCUCUACUGGACCAUUACUGACACUGAGAGGCGAAAGCUAGGGGAGCGAAAGGGAUUAGAUACCCCUGUAGUCCUAGCCGUAAACGAUGGAUACUAGAUGUUGUGCAAUUUGGACAGUAUCGUAGCUAACGCGUUAAGUAUCCCGCCUGGGGAGUACGCUCGCAAGGGUGAAACUCAAAGGAAUUGACGGGGGCCCGCACAAGCGGUGGAGCAUGUGGUUUAAUUCGAUGCAACGCGAAGAACCUUACCAGGGCUUGACAUACUACAGAUCUUUUUGAGAAAGAAGAGUGCCUUCGGGAAUGUAGAUACAGGUGGUGCAUGGCCGUUCUU